AGUGAACGCUGGCGGUAGGCCUAACACAUGCAAGUCGAACGGCAGCACAGUAAGAGCUUGCUCUUACGGGUGGCGAGUGGCGGACGGGUGAGGAAUACAUCGGAAUCUACUUUUUCGUGGGGGAUAACGUAGGGAAACUUACGCUAAUACCGCAUACGACCUACGGGUGAAAGCAGGGGAUCUUCGGACCUUGCGCGAUUGAAUGAGCCGAUGUCGGAUUAGCUAGUUGGCGGGGUAAAGGCCCACCAAGGCGACGAUCCGUAGCUGGUCUGAGAGGAUGAUCAGCCACACUGGAACUGAGACACGGUCCAGACUCCUACGGGAGGCAGCAGUGGGGAAUAUUGGACAAUGGGCGCAAGCCUGAUCCAGCCAUACUGCGUGGAUGAAGAAGGCCUUCGGGUUGUAAAGCCCUUUUGUUGGGAAAGAAAAGCAGCAGGUUAAUACCCCGCUGUUCUGACGGUACCCAAAGAAUAAGCACCGGCUAACUUCGUG
rnacentral:rRNA from 1 species